GACGAACGCUGGCGGCGUGCUUAACACAUGCAAGUCGAACGGAAAGGCUCCAGCUUGCUGGAGUACUUGAGUGGCGAACGGGUGAGUAACACGUGGGUAAUCUGCCCUGCACUCUGGGAUAAGCCUGGGAAACUGGGUCUAAUAAUGGAUAUGACCUUUCUCCUUAUGGGGUUUGGUGGAAAGUUUUUCGGUGUAGGAUGAGCCCGCGGCCUAUCAGCUUGUUGGUGGGGUGAUGGCCUACCAAGGCGACGACGGGUAGCCGGCCUGAGAGGGUGAACGGGGACAUUGGUACUGAGAGACGCCCCAGACGCCUACGGGAGGCAGCAGUGGAGAAUAUUGCACAAUGGGCGGAAGCCUGAUGCAGCGACGCCGCGUGAGGGAUGACGGCCUUCGGGUGAUAAACCUCUUUCAGCAGGGACGAAGCGUAAGUGACGUUACCUGCAGAAGAAGCACCGGCUAACUAGGUG
rnacentral:rRNA from 1 species